GACGAAGGAUGCAAGCGCUAUCCGGAUUCAUUGGGUUUAAAGGGAGCGUAGGUGGCCUUAUAAGUCAGUGGUGAAAUCUCUGGGCUUAACCCAGAAAUUGCCAUUGAUACUGUAGGGCUUGAGUAUAGUUGCCGUUGGCGGAAUAUGACAUGUAGUGGUGAAAUACAUAGAGAUGUCAUAGAACACCGAUUGCGAAGGCAGCUGACGAAACUAUAACUGACACUGAGGCUCGAAAGUGCGGGGAUCAAACAGG
rnacentral:rRNA from 1 species